rnacentral:lncRNA from 10 species
AUCACAAAGAGCUACUCAGUACUCCCUGCGGUGCUGGCAUUGCUCGGCCUAGCCCUCCGUUAUCUCUUUCAAUAUUUCAGCACCAUCCUCCCUCCCCUGAGAGGCCCGGUCAGGUGAAGUGUUUAGGAAGAACUAGCCUGCAAUAAGGUGAAGACUGCACCAGUCAAGGUGGUUAAGUGACUUCCUGUAUGGCAGAUGCAACUGACAGCAGUAACUUAAGCACACCCUGAGAAUGACCCUGUGGUCUAAGAAGAAUGUGUGUCUGGGAGUGGCCAACCCAGAGACUCACUCCUUAUCUAUGAGGGACAUCCGAACCCCUGGUCCAUUCCUUGGAACACAGGUGUACAGGGGAUUGAAGCCUUUGUUUUGGUUUAAACAGAGGUUGAUAGAUGGAGGGUGGGAAGUGAAAAUUGCCAUAUAAACUGCAUGCUUUUUCA